rnacentral:rRNA from 1 species
UACGUAGGGGGCAAGCGUUAUCCGGAUUUACUGGGUGUAAUGGGAGCGUAGGCGGACUUUUAAGUGAGAUGUGAAAUACUCGGGCUCAACUUGAGUGCUGCAUUUCAAACUGGAAGUCUAGAGUGCAGGAGAGGAGAAUGGAAUUCCUAGUGUAGCGGUGAAAUGCGUAGAGAUUAGGAAGAACACCAGUGGCGAAGGCGAUUCUCUGGACUGUAACUGACGCUGAGGCUCGAAAGCGUGGGGAGCAAACAGG